GCCGGUGUUGUGCGGUGAAAAAAGUGGACUAGUCAGCAGGAUGCGAGGAGAACUGUACCGCAUGAACUUCAUGAAGUCCAAACACUGCUCCCGCCUCACUGAUGAGAGCCUACAGUCCUGUAUGAAGAUCGAAGUGACAUCUUACGGCCCCGAACUUCAGACACAGAAGUCACAUUAAACAGGUGCUUCAGUUGACUGCUGGCUGAGCAAAAAGCCCAAAGAGGACGAGAGAACGCUGACAUGGAGACACUCCAAAUUUGAUGUUUCUUUUUAAAGCUGCUAAGCUGCAGCUAAAUGUUUUAUUUAUGUUUAAGUGGGCUAGUUUUUAUUUUACUUUUACACAAAUAUAGGAAGGAAUUAAGUAGGCCUACAGUUCACAGUGGGCCUACAAAUGCACACUGCACUUCUGUUGUUGUAUUCAGUCAUUGUAACAGGUAAAAUAAAA
ensembl:lncRNA